GCGCUCGGAGAGCCCUUCGGGGAGGCCGGGCUUCCUGGGACUGGGCGAAUGCUAGGUUUUGGGGCUAGAGGAUUUUCGGAAUGAAGGGAAGAACGGCGAAGACCCUUUCCCUGCUGAGGGGGACCUUGCCGCAUCCCUUGGGUGCUUGCAGGUGUGGCCUGGGAAGGACAGUGUGUUCCCGGGAAGCGGAGGCUAAGUGGCGAAUCUCUGAACAUUUCUCCAGCCCAUAUCGGCUGCAUCUCGCCGCGGUGAUUUCCCGCCCAUCCUGCUUGUGCAGCUGGCUGGGGCAGGCUUCCCUGGACUCCUGUGAAAACAAGUAACCUUUUUGUGGAAUGCCGCCAGCCUAUCUGGUGAACCCGUUAUUUCACUGGUGGAGAAAACGAAGUUGAGAAUUCAUGGUCAAGCAAGCCCGUUAGUAACCAGUUGGCUCUAGGACCUAGGAUCUUGUUGACCCUUCAAAAAAGUUGUAGGACUUUGGCAGAGAAAUUACGCAUUUUUAAAUAAGGCUUUUUAUCGUUAACUGAGUAUCAUGAUUCUUUCUAGGGAAGCAAUUUAUGCAGUAAAACAAUAACUGCCAGAAGGGUCAUUUAUUAAAAAAUUAAGUGCCAAGGAGUAAUGAUGAAAUACACAAGUUCUGAUCCCGGGGAACCUAUUGUUAUCCUAUAUCAAUCUUGAGAUUUUUGUUUAGUAAUUGGAAACAUAUAACAGUUUUAUAAAGUUCUUGUUGGAGUGUAUGUCUUAUGUUGGUGUUUUUAAUAUAAUUUAUAAUUUUUUAACUUGCAGACAGUAUGCGUAUGAGAAUGGAUUGCAGGGUCGAAGUUAGCACUGUCCGAGGAUCUAGGUUAACCUGGGUCAAUGGCUUAAUUGGUUUAACACGAAUUUUUUCCUACAUAAUUUUAACAAUCUAUACACAUGGAUAGAAAAUUUAGAAAAUACUGAAUAUUUGGAGAGGGAAGAAAAACCCAUCUUUAAUGCUAUCAUUUGGAAUAAUUACCACUACUGGUUUUUAAUGAAUUUAUUGCUUUAUAUAAUAUGUCUGUAUAUAUGCAUAUAUAUGCUUUACAAAACAGUAAACCUUCCAAAUCAUUUCCUGACAACAUGAUUUUUUAUGGUGCAUAGUAGUGCAUCAUACGAACGGCCAUAAUUUUUUAAAUUAUUCCCCUCUUUAUACCUCUUGUAAUAUUAGGGUAUUUUUGUUUGUUUUUUAACUGUUGCAAAGACUGCCCCUUUGUUUCAUACCUUAUUUCUUUGGCUCACUUCCUAGAAGUGGAAUUUGGGGUCCAAGCUUAUGAACAUUUUUAAGGCCCUUGCUAAGUUGCCCUCCACCUCCUGGAAGCUAACUCCCUCCCUUUACACAGGAGGUAGGAAAUAAAGCUCAGAGGUAAGGGGGAGGUACCAGGCUAUUCGUUUACACUGGUGGAAGCUACCCCUGGACCCCAAGCCUCUUCCAAAGUUAAUGCUGAACAAGCAUUUAUAAUUAUUCCUGUUAACUCUCAAGUAGUUUGACUCACUGUUUUUCUCUUUGACUGUUGAAAGUGAAACAGUGUGCACAUCUGCUACGCUAGCAUCUACGAACUUGCCUAAUCAGUUGGUGGUCAGGAAGGUAAAAAAGAGUAUGGACUGAGACUUUGGGAAACCUAUAAAAAACAGACUGGACUACAGCUUUGCCUUCAUUCUAUUGAAAAUCAUAGGUCAAUGAUGCUUAUUAGUGCUCUGAUGUUUAGAAAUGGAAUAUAGCAGUUACUGUUUUAAUAGCUUAUCAAAGUAAGUGGUCAGCUCACUUUUUAUAGAAAUAGCAAGUGCUUACUGUCUGAUUCUUUGCUAAAGUUAAUUAGCUUUACUGCUAGGACAACUUAUUUGUUGAUGGACAAUUUCUGGAAAAAUUUAAUAAAUUAAACCUUAACAGUUUUCUAUUCCAGUUGGGCUUUUUGAGGGGGGAGGUCUAUUUAUUUUAUAAAGUAUGUAUUAUGGAAUGUAAGAAAAUACCAAGUGGAUUAGUAUAAUAGGCCCUUUUAUACUCAUCACCCAAUUUCCAUAAUGUUCAAUAUUCUGCCAUUCUUGUUUCCACUCUGCCUUCUACAUCUUUUUAAGUGUAUUUUUAAUGUAAAUCUUAUAUAUACAUAUAUGUCAAUUUAAUGUACAGCCAGUGUUUUUGUGAUCAAACAGAGACCCAGUUCAUAGUCUGGACGCUUAUUUUCUGCUCCCCUUUCUAGUUUCUGGGUUUCUGUCAUGGCAUCACCAUCCUCUUUGUCUUGCAGGCCUGAAAACUCUAAUAAUCCACUCUUUCUUCACUCCUCACAUCAGAUUAUUCACUAAUUUUGUUUGUUUUUUUAUUUUGAAUACCCUUAAUGUCUCAUUUAUGCUGUUUUUUUCUGCUAUAGUCCCAUCCUUUUGGCCUUCUGACUUGCAGAUAGUAAAUACUGGUGACUAGUUAUGGAAUUGAACAGCUGUACAAGUCUUCUACUAGUUCCCUGCCACUCUACUCUCAUUCCCAACUAUUUAGGAUUCUCCAGCGAUCCCAAUGUAUAGCAAAGCUUCAGAACCACUGUUCUUUAGGGCUAAAGUGAGAACAUGAGGAUCGGGUAAGACAUCUGGAUUUUGGCCUUCAAUACUUCAUAUAACCUCACCAAGGCCUCACUUUGUGUUCUCCACAUACGAUUCUACUUGCCAAAUUGCACAAGAGAUUGCUGAGAAAAUUCAACAGCGGAAUCGGUAUGAAAGAAAUGGUGAAAAUACAACCAAGUGUCCAGAAGCUGUAAUCUGGAGCUGCUGAGCCCCUGAAGCAAUGUCGGCGGUCGCAGAGGAGCGGUACUGGUGCCUGGGGGUAGGAAAGACCUGUUCCCUGCCUCCUCGCUGCUGUGCUUGCCUCCACUGCCUGAGCCAGUGGGCCAGUCACACAGAGUGAGGAGUCUUGGCCCAUCUUCAAGGACAAGAUACGUUUUUGGGAGCAGAUAACUUCCAAGGACUGCACCGGUUGCUCUCAAGCUUGUGCUUUCCCAUGCUGCGUUCAGACGUGGGGGAAGGU